UACGUAGGGUGCAAGCGUUGUCCGGAAUUAUUGGGCGUAAAGAGCUCGUAGGCGGUUUGUCGCGUCUGCUGUGAAAAUCCAGGGCUUAACCCUGGACCUGCAGUGGGUACGGGCAGACUAGAGUGCGGUAGGGGAGAUCGGAAUUCCAGGUGUAGCGGUGAAAUGCGUAGAUAUCUGGAGGAAUACCGGUGGCGAAGGCGAAUCUCUGGACAAUUACUGACACUGAGGCACGAAGGCCAGGGGAGCAAACGGG
rnacentral:rRNA from 1 species